AUUGAACGCUGGCGGCAUGCCUUACACAUGCAAGUCGAACGGCAUCGCGGGAAAGCUUGCUUUCCUGGCGGCGAGUGGCGAACGGGUGAGUAACACAUCGGAACGUACCGGCUAGUGGGGGAUAACCCGUCGAAAGACGGGCUAAUACCGCAUACGCUCUUCGGAGGAAAGCAGGGGACCUUUGGGCCUUGCGCUAGCCGAGCGGCCGAUGUCCGAUUAGCUAGUUGGUGGGGUAAAGGCCUACCAAGGCGACGAUUGGUAGCGGGUCUGAGAGGACGAUCCGCCACACUGGGACUGAGACACGGCCCAGACUCCUACGGGAGGCAGCAGCGGGGAAUCUUGGACAAUGGGGGCAACCCUGAUCCAGCAAUGCCGCGUGGGUGAAGAAGGCCUUCGGGUUGUAAAGCCCUUUCGGCAGGGAAGAAAUCGGCGGGGCGAAUAACCCUGCUGGAUGACGGUACCUGCAGAAGAAGCACCGGCUAACUACGUG
rnacentral:rRNA from 1 species